CAGUAAAUAGUUUAUUAUAAAAUAUUAAUUUUGGAGAUUAAAGACAGGCACUGCUUUUUACUGA
rnacentral:tRNA from 1 species